GAAAAAUCUAUUUAAAUAAUCUUUUUUCUGUGAAAAUGACUGAUAUUAAUAUUAACAGGCUCAAAAGGAGUAGCUAAAAGGCCACCAAAACAGACAAAAAAGAAAAUCACAGCUGUCUAAUAAAAAGAAAAUUAAAAACUACGCCUAGAAAGUAACGAAACAUCAAUAAGCAGAAAACGCGUGGGCCUGCAACAAAACUUUUCAAUCUCCAUUAUCAGCCACAGCAGGGCUCCAUUUCCUUCGGUAUUAUCGAUCAAAGACUGAGAGCCAGCAACGCUUUGCAAACAAUAUUAGAGAUUCAAUGAACCUUCUUUAACUCAAAGCGAACAUAUGGAACUUAGGUCCGUUGGCACCAUCGUAACCAGUCUUCCUCCACCACCAGUCGCACAGUCUCUGGUAUUCCAGUAACCCAGGCCCCACACACUUUCCGAUGCCGACCUUCCACUGCCAAAAUAAGGGCUGCAGCGUUAAGCGGACGGUUCACAAACUUGUAAGAGACUUCAUCAAAGCCCUGGCGCAAUCUAUGAAUAUUAUGAACAAUCGACCUAAUAAUCGGUCUAUCUUCCUCAUUUUUAAUCAGUUUUUUAAUGACUGUCAGGGAGUCCCUUUUCACAAUCAACCGUCGAAAGCCCUUCAAUUUUGCGAGGAUCAGCGCUCUUUCACAAGCUCGUGCUUCCGCCACGAAUGCAUUGUCCACACCUUCCACCAGAUAAGUAACUGCUUCUAUAACUUCCCCUCUGUGAUUUCUGGCUAAGAUUGCUAUUGUCGCAAUUAUUUCCUGGAAUAUACGACGCAUCAAAAUUAAUUUUAAUAAAACCAUAGUCAGGAGGCCUCCAGACUUCAUUUCUCAUAAAAGCAGUAGAAACACAUAGAUUCUCACGAACAAGCCAUAAAUCUCGCUCAUAGCCCCUGAUAAAUCCCAAUAGUUGUGGCAUAGAAAGCUUAAUCCCCUCAUGAACCAACUUAUUUCUGUGAAACCAAAAACACCAAAGAGAUAAAGCAAUAAACCUUUUUUGUCGACCUUCUGCUUCAAGAUAUGCUUUAACAAAAUUAGCCUUAUAAUCCAGGGAAUCAUCCAAAGGGGGAAUUUGAACUUGCAACGAUGUCCAUAUAUUUUAAAGGACCCUACAAGACCCUAACAAAUGCGCUGUGGUUUCUAGAUCUUCCUUACACAGUGGGCAUACAACCUCCUCACAUAGUGUUCGGCGUGCCAAGUUCCCAUAGUGUGGCACCAUGUUAUUGAACAAUCUCCAAACAUGUAUUUUUAUUUUCUCUGGAAUAUGUAAAACCCAAAGAUCCAUGUAAAAAAUUUUGUAUUCUUCAUUUGUAGAGGACAUGUGUAGAUUGCUCUGUAAAUAAUCUGUAAUAAGAACUCGGCACCCACUCCUGACAGUAUACUCACCUGAGCCUUCAUACUUCCAUACCAACAUAUCCUCUGGUCGGCUUUCAGAGAUGGGAAUGGCAAAGAUUCGAUUAACAGUGUCAUCAUCCACUAGAUUGUGAGUCAACUCUCUAUUACAGGUACUGUCUUCUUCAUUCAUUAACUGAUUCACUGUUGACCAAGGAGGCUUAAUUUCAAUAACCAGGAUUCUGUUAUUCUCUCUUCCAAGCAACCAGGGGUCAUUCCAAAUGUUGAUACUUGCACCAUUUCCCACACGCCACAAGAUUCCAUCACUAAUCAGGUCCCGCGCACUACAAAUACUCCUCUAGGUAAAUGAAGGGUAAGAACCAACCUUUGCUGUUAGUAUAGUAGAAAGAGGGAAAUAACGGGCUUUUAAAACCUUGGCUAAUAAACAAUGGGGUUGGGUUAAAAUACGCCACUCCUGCUUCGCUAAAAGGGCCUUAUUAAACAAGAAUAAAUUUUUAAAUCGCAGCCCUCCAAAACUUUUCGGUUUACACAGAACAUCCAACGAACUCCAAUAAAUCCCCUUCGAUGUUUUAUUAUUCAUCCACCAGAAUCGAUUCAUUAUUCCUUCCAAUGUUUUACAUAAUGACUUUGGCAAUAAAAAACACUGCAUAGCAUAAAUUGAAGUUGCCUGCAAAAUCGAUUUAAUGAAAACCUCCUUAUCCCCCAUUGAAAGAUAACACAUACUCCACCCCUCCACCCGUUUUCUGAAUCGGUCCACAAAGUUAGCAAAAGCCCACAUUUUCCUCCUACCCACCAUCAUAGGCAAACCGAGAUACUUUUCAGGAUUUGAGGCCAGACGUACCCCUAAUAAAUUAACAAUAUCCUCAUGAACACUAGAGACGACAUUUACACCGAAAUAAAUGAGGGAUUUUUCAAAAUUCACUCUCUGCCCCGAGACCAUCUCAUAUUUUUGGAUAAUAGCCCGAACCACUUCAGCUCCUUCACAGGAGGCAUCACCAAAAAGAAUGCAAUUAUCCGCAAAAAAUAAGUGGUUGACCGAAAAAUUCUCUCUACCUAUAGGUGCCCCCAUCAUCAUCCCUUUAGUUUUAGCUUCCUGAAUGAGCAGCGAAAACCCUUCAGCACAAAUCAAGAAUAAAUAAGGACUAAGAGGGUCUCCUUGUCUGAGUCCUCUCGAUGGUGUGAACCAGUCCCCGCUAGCUCCAUUAAUACUAACAGAGUACGUGACAGAGCAUACACAACACAUGAUAAGAACGAUCCAAUCCUCAUGAAAACCCAGGUGCUUCAUCAUACCUGCCAAAAAAUCCCAUUCCACACGAUCAUACGCUUUCCUCAUAUCUAGUUUAAGCGCAAAAUUGCCUUUCUUACCUCUCUUUUUCAUUUUUAGGGAAUAAAGUAUCUCAUAAGCAAUCAGUACAUUAUCAGAAUAAGCCUACCUAGAAUAAAGGCCCCUUGAGCUUCAUUAAUACAAGACCCCAGUGUCUCGCUCAUCCUCAAUACCAACACUUUUGCUAUAAUUUUGUAAAUGACAUUACAAAGGCUGAUAGGCCUAAAAUGAGUCAUGUUACUCGGUUUUUCAACCUUUGGAAUCAGGAUAAUGCACGUUUUGUUAAUAACACUCAAAUCCUCUUGUCUCUGUAGAACGAAUAAGCAAAAGCGGGUAACCUCAAGCCCAACAAUGUGCCAAUAACACUGAAAGAAGAGGGUCGAAAACCCAUCCAACCUAGGGGCUUUCAAAAGCGCCAAGGAUUUGACUGCAAAGGCAAUGUCCUCCUCCGUAAAUUGUCUUAAGAGCCUUUCAUUCAUACUACUAGUAACUUUUUCCUCUACUAAGCUAAACAAAUGCUCAUCCGAACCUGACUCUGAAGUAAAGAAAAGCUUACCAAAAUAGUCAGAAGCUAUUUGGAGGAACUCCUCAGUGGAAUUAAUACUUCUCCCAGCUCCAUCUUCCAGUUCAGAAAUUCUACAACGAAAGUGACGUUGGACAGCUACCUUAUGAAAAAAGCUGGUAUUACGAUCCUCAUUCUUUAGCCAAUUCACCCGCGCACGCUGCUCCCAAAAUAAUUCCUCCUUUUCAGCUUCUAAAUUAAGCCCCAAUUGGACCUUCAUAAUCUCAGCUAGAACUUCAUCUGACGGAUCUUGAGUGUAAAGAUUCAUUAAUCUGUCUUCUAAACGGAGCCGAUUCCUCCACUCCUUAAUAUUAUUCACGUUGCUCCACUUUAGUAUUUGAGAACCUAUUUUCUCCAACUUACUCAGUACACCUCCAGAUUCCUCUUCCCACCAUCUCCUAAUCAUACCUUCAAACGCCUCUAAACACCACUUAGCCUCAAAUUGAAAAGACUUCUCAUACUUGUUCUGACGGUUCCAUACUCCCCCUAG
rnacentral:lncRNA from 1 species